CAUAACUAGGGUCCAAUCACCUGCCAGGCUUAUGUUGCAGAAAAAACACCAAACCAAGCAACAUACAAGAAUGUAAACCAUUUUUUUCAGCUAAACACCUUUAAGUGUCAAUUCUUCAAAUUCUACAAGGGAGCUUGCAGCCUCCAUUUGUUUAGGAGUGUGUGUGUGUGUGUGUGUGUGUGUGUGUGUGUGUGUGUGUGUGUGUGUGUGUGUGUGAGAGAGAGAGAGAGAGAGAGAGAGAGAGAGAGAGAGAGAGAGAGAGAGAGAGAGAGAGAGAGAGAGAGAGAGUCUUUCCCAUCCCAUCAACAUUAUUUCUCACACCAGACCCUGAUUUCCUCAUUUGAGGCUCAACAGCUAGAAGCUGUGAAUGAGCCUACAUAAAGUCAUAAUCACCCUUCCAUCUUUUGGAAUCAGUAUCACACACCCCAAUUAUCACAAUCUUUAGUUCUAGUUUUGUUAGACCACCAAUUGGCUAGACAAAAGCCUAUUCUCAACACAGCAGUGACUUCUAGAAGUCCACCAAAGCAGAAACACACUCUCAUUCACUGAAAAGCAGACAUAGAGAAGGUAAUGCAGUGUUAAAUGACGUUUUGUAUGGAUGUAGGAGACCCAGGCACAAACCCCUGCCCUGCUAUGAAACUUGCUGGCAGUCAUGGACUACAUAUGGUCUCAAAGCAACGUAUCCCAGAGUGGCAGCCAACUAGCCUGGUACCAGCAAAAGGUCUGGGACACCUUAAGGUCCAGUUUGUUGUACCUUAAUGAUUGGAAGCAGUGAGGAGACCAGUCCACAAAGAUGGUUGGCAUUUCCCAGUGGUAACCAUAGAUUUAACUCUAGUGACCAGCACCCUCCUGGACACCUGGUACAAGCCUUCUUCCUGAGAGCCUUCCAUGCAACGCAGAGAAGAUUCUACAGCUUUUUUUACAUAGUAUGAAAAGCUGUUCUUCAGAUGGACGGUUGCAAGAGCAAAAAGCAUCAUCAUGCUGCAAGACUAUCACCACCAGCAGAAGCUUAACACCCCAGAAUGAGUGAUAAGCUUGCAGUAAAAAUUCAGGCAGGCAUGGGGCGGUGUCUCAGUUUGUGCUAGCUGGUGUGAAGUGAACCACAUCCCUCCUCAAGUUCUCCAUGCACACCAGGAGACUUCAGAGUAGGGUGGGGUUGUCAACAACUGAAAAUAAAUGUCUGCCAAGCCAAGAUCUGUGGUCCUUAGACAAAGGAACAGUAUU